AGUGGACAGAUUUGCUCAGGGGCUUGGCCAGCUCCUGUCUGGCUGCCCUGUGACUGCCAGCCAUGAGUGCUGACACAGGAAUCCAUGAGCUGUUCUGCCUUCACAAGAUGAAGCUUCCCCUGCAUGUGGGUGUUCCUUAGGGGUUUCAUGGGGCUUACUUUAUCUUCCCAGCUCGAGCUGGCAUUCCUAGGAUCUUGACACCAUGAUUCAAGCUUCAUUUGGCUGUCCCAUGACAUGCAGCAUGGUGCUGGGCACACAUCAAAGACUCGAGAAGUACUCUCUAAUGAUGACUCAGUUGUGAUCCUGGAGCAGGAGAGUUUGCUGUCCUUAAGCAGGGCUCCUCAAAGGGUGGUUCUGAGGUUAGCAGCAGCAGCGUCCCUAGGGCUUGUGAGAAAUGCACAUUCACCCUCUUCUCCCCAACCCCCCGCAAAAUGAAUUAGAAUCUCUGGGAAUGGGGCCCAGGAAUCUGUGUUUUAGCAAGUGCUCUGGAGGGUUCCUCUGCCUGCUAAUGUUUGAGAACUGACCUAAAGGAAGGAAAUGUGCUGUGCCCGUGAUAACUGGUAACCCACAGGUUUCAUCUGAUGCCUCAUUUCCUGGCAGUUGCCGAUGGCUGCUUAUAGUUCUGUGUUAAGGGAUCCCAAAGCUUACCUCGGCUCCACUGGAAAGAGUACGUAAUUGAUUAGCUGGGGGUAUGAAAUUGGUGAGUGACAUUUGUGUCCUGCUAAAUAGUAGCCAUUUAUGCUGGGGGGAGCAUAACAGAUGACCCCUAGCCAGGCAGUAGCGGCAGAAGUUAUUGAGGUGAAAUGGAUCUUUAUUUGGGUUUAACUUAGGGGACUGAUAGAGUGAGUGUUCGUCUGCGUGGUUCUCUGACAUGUACAGACCUAGUGGCUGACCCAGGUCUUUAGUAAUGAGGUGGAGCUCUACAAAGUUUCCAUCAGCCUUGAGGGAACUUUGGAGGAGGAACAAAAAGGAUUAGGGAAGCGCUGUGGCCUUGUUGUGGUGACUGUUGGUUCUUCACCACAGCCUCUCCUCUCACUUCCUGUCUCACUGCUUUGCCAAGGUACAGCAGUAGCAUGCUACCCAUUUUCUGCUUUGGCCGUAGGGGACACAGGCAGACACAGAUCAGGUCACCUGUUUUGUUCUUUUCUAGUGCAUGAAGUAAGGUUUAUGUUGAGGCUCAUGGGAUUAUUCUGCCUUUCUGAAGCGCCUGGUGUUUUGGUAGGAGCUGUGUAAGGGAUGCAGGAGAUCUCGAGGUGUACUUCACGUAACUUGUGGGUGAAGCAAGACAAACAUGAGGUAGUCUUCCAGUUAACUCAAGCCAAACACGUGAAAGAGUCUCAUGGUUGGAAAAUUGGGGAGAAAAAUGGAGAGUGGAGUGGGGGUCGGCGGUACAGAGGACCCACUGCUCUCUGUGCCGCGCUUUGCCAGUCACUGUAGACAAGGCCGCGCUACUUUGGAGUUUACAGCGUGGUGGGGGCAUCACCAGGGAAUGUGUGGCAUCACUGCUCGGUGGUGUGGCAGACACAACAGGGACUAGCAACAGAGACUUCUGGCUUUAGUGCUUGAUGCUCAGCAAGAAAGGCAUAUGGGAGUCAAAGAACUUUAAAGAUAAAAAAGAAAUUAUGUGUGUUUGAUCAAAAAAGUUAUAGUUGGUUUUCAGGUGUGUAGAUUAAGAUGCCCAGUAAGGACGGAAACAUACUCUUGGUUUUGGCUUGAAUAUGCAUGAUGCACUUACAUGCUUUAUCGGUAUUUAUCUUUGUAUCUCGAUGGUGACUGAGAUGCAGUUCUUAUUAGAAAUAAUGUGAUGCAAACUCAACAACAACAACAACAAAAGGGCUCCUGAGGGUGGGAGGGCACGGAGGAUUCAGUCAUCAGGAGGCAGGUGAGGGCCAGCCUGAAGGCUGCAGGAAAGUGAAGGUUAUGGCAGGGAUGUUUGGGGGGAGGGGGUGACUUGGAUAGCGUGGGGGUCAAGGCUGUGGAAGAGACAGGAGGUGAGAACCAAGUUGUGGUUCCCAGCACAGGAGAGUGGCAGUGCCCUGACAGGAGGUACAUCGGGCCCCUGUAAAGUGAGGUGAUGGUGGGGAAUCUAAAGGCCCAUCUCCUGUGAGAGGUGGAUGUGUGGGACUUAAAUUAAGGGCCAUAAGAGUUAAUUUUCAGAGUAUGAACUCUGAGCACAAAGUACAGUGGAGAGAGAAAAUGGGGGACUCACGGGCUGAAAUGUGGAAGCUGGAGGAAGGCAGGGAGGACCGGGGAAGCUGAGGGAGAGUGGUUGGGGGGUGGGGGAGCUGGGCCUCUUCAUUUGGUAUCUGCAUCUGUUUCCCACAUGUGGUUGUGGGAAAGAGCAGCCCUGGGUAUCUUCAUAUCUCCCAGGGAUACCUGUUAGAUGCUCAUGAAGUUCCAUGUGAAGUCUGAGUAGAGUGCAGAAACAGAGAGGGUGCAUCCGAUUUGUCCAAAUGAAGGUCACUUGUGACGCAGGAGAGCAGUUCGAAGAGUGGGAGCAGUCAGGUUUCAGAGCUCUCAUGAGGCAGCGGGGCCAGUAGCUAAGGGCAUCUGAAAGACCAGCAGAAGGUUACAGGGUUUCUGACGUGAUUGGGAUGCAAGGAUGAGGCAGUUGCACAGAGAACUUGACACGGCCUUGGUUACGUCUGUGGGGUCGGAGGUGAGCGGUAUCCAGAGCUUCAGAGAGGGAAGGUUGGCCUGCUGCCACAGGCCGGUCAGUUCCUGGGAAGUGACUGAAGUGCGUUCCGAGCAGUGGUGAGGUUGAAUGGGGCGGGCCCGUUCGCUGGUCUUCUGACUUCAGUUCCAGUCCUGAGCACACUGUCCCUGUUUUCCCCUCCAGCCUCACCUCUCAGCUUGCCUCCAUGUUCCAGCUGGCCCCCAUCAUUGCAGAGUCCCUUCCCUUCAGGCCUUGCCCUCGUGUAUUUGUGUCCCCGCCUGGAUCACUGCCCUCCCCCACGCUCCCGGGCCAAUUCCUGCUAGUCCUUCGGGUCUCAGCAAAGCCCUCAUCCUCUGGGGCAGGGGUCUGCAAACUUUUCCAGCCAAGGGCCCGGUUGUAAAUAUAUUAGGCUCUGGGGACCACAUGGUCUCUGGUGCAGCUAAUCAACCCUGCCUUGGGAGUGUCAGAGCCAGCGCAGGCAGCACAUAAAUGAAUGGGCCUGGCCACGUGCCCGGAAGACUCUGUUUACAAAAGCAGGUGUCCUGCUUGUGUUCUGUAGUUUGACACUCUCAAAACUGUGGGAGGUGUGCCCCGUGGUGUUCCCACCACACACUCAUCACCCCCACCCCUCCCCUUGUUCUCAUUGUGUGGUGUUGUCACCAUGCGUGCACCCAUUCACAUUCAUCCUCCCUCCAAUGCCUAAAUUCUGUGAGGACACGGGCAGGGUGUUCUCAGCACCCAGCAUCCAAGAGGUGCUCAGGAAACUCGUGCGGAGUAGACAGACCCAGGCUGAGAUGAGGGAGGCACUGAGGUGGGAGGGCCAUGUUGGACCUGUAACCAGGGGCGAAGACAGGAAGGGACUUUAUGAGGGAAAAGUGGCUCUUAACAUCAGGACGUGGGGAUGAAGGAUGAUUAUUUUUAUUUUCCAAAAUCUCUCUUUUUUUAGAUCUUUAUUUAUUUUUGAGAGAUAGCAACAGCAGCAGGGGAAGGGCAGAGAGAAAGGGAGACACAGAAUCGUAAGCAGACUCCAGGCACUGAGCUGUCAGCACAGAGCCCGAUACGGGGCUCAAACCCACGAACCAUGAGAUCAUGACCCGAGCUGAAGUCAGACACUCAACCACUUAGCCACCCAGGCACCCCUAUUUUCCCAAAUCUCAGUAACAUUAUAAACGAUGCUAACUUGUAUAAUUACGUACGUGUGUACUUAAAACAUAUUUGUAAUGUUUCGCAGAUUUUGGUUAACGCGUUACACGUAGAUCAGGACUAGACUAAAGAGCUGGGGUCAUGACUGGGAAGCAGGGAGCCUUGUCCGGGGAAGGACGGACCGCAGGUUAGGUGAGAAGGAAAAGGGUGACUGACAGGACCCAUUUCCCUUGGGAGGUGUGAAAUCUCUGUCCCUUCCUCUGGGCCUUGUAAGUUGGGAGGAGGUGGCCAGGACGGCUGAGGCUCAUUUCCCAGCCCAGCAGCCUGCCAGAAGCCGCUCUUUGGCUCUGGGUCUGCUUCUGAAAACUCUGACCCGGGCACUGGGGCAUGCUAAUUUUCACUGCAGUAUUUAUUUAGAUACAAGAGAAAGGAAGGGCCUCAGGUUUGGGUUGGCGAGGGGAACUCCCUUUGCUCCAGGGCUUCUGUUUGGAUUGGCUGGUGCCUGCCAGACUGGCCUGCUUGCCUUCCCAGCUGUGGGGUUUGCUUAUACUAGAGGAUGUCUCAAAUUUACGAGACUCAAAUCUGAGGCCCAUCCUGGGGUUUUGCCCACAGGUCUGGGCAGUUUCUCCCUGGAGAAGCUAAAGAAAUAAGACCUUGAAAGUCAGCUCAGUCUCUAUGACGUGCCCUGGACAGACCCUCAUGAGAAUUCUCAGAGUUCAGGUCUCCUUGGAAACAUGGAUGUGGGGGCAGAGAGGGGAAUGUUCGAACUCCUUGGAGCGCGGAAAGACUGCCUCCUUGCUAAGUGAUUUUAGGACUGCCAUUUAGAAUUUCAGGGUUUUGCUCCUUGCUUCCCUGACCUGGAGGAAACUUUCAGCUCAGCUGAAAAUUUGGGGUGAGGUGGGGUGGAUGGGGACAGGAUCUUUUGUCUACUUCUAGACUCUCUGGAGUCACCUUUCUGGUUCAGCUUCAUAAAUGUGGGCAACAUAAAGAGACUAGACUUGGAGGAAUUUGUUACCCCCAACCUGUUACCUGCUAUAAUUGAGGGAAACUUGGGUAGGAGGGGUCUGACCAAGUCCAUUUGGGACCAAGUCCAUUUGGGUGGGAAGGGUCUGACCAAGACUGAUUUGAGCUGCUCAGUGGGCCUGCAGAAUGGCUGGGGCAGCUGCCUUCAUACAUUUCUCUUUUAAAAUAGCUUUUGGGUUCAUCAUUUAGGAAGCCCAGUAGUUAACAUAAGGUAAGAUAAAGGGCAGUAUAAAGCUCAGUGAGCCCUCCACUAGAGUCAGCUUUGUGGGAACUGGUGUUCUGUCAGGAGGACAUGACCAGUGGCGUAUUGGUAAGGGGGAAAAAAGUGUGAAUGGUGGCUAUCUUUUAAGGAGUAAAAUUACUUGUGGUCUUUUAUUCUGUUCUCUGAGUUUUCUGCCCCACAAUGAGCAUACCACUUGGGCAGUACUUGUUGCUUUUCUUAAAAAUAGUUGGAGAUCUU